AGCGAACGCUGGCGGCAGGCUUAACACAUGCAAGUCGAGCGGGCACUUUCGGGUGUCAGCGGCGGACGGGUGAGUAACGCGUGGGAACGUGCCCUCUGGUUCGGAAUAACUCAGGGAAACUUGAGCUAAUACCGGAUACGCCCUUUUGGGGAAAGGCUUGCUGCCGGAGGAUCGGCCCGCGUCUGAUUAGCUAGUUGGUGAGGUAACGGCUCACCAAGGCGACGAUCAGUAGCUGGUCUGAGAGGAUGAUCAGCCACACUGGGACUGAGACACGGCCCAGACUCCUACGGGAGGCAGCAGUGGGGAAUAUUGGACAAUGGGCGCAAGCCUGAUCCAGCCAUGCCGCGUGAGUGAUGAAGGCCUUAGGGUUGUAAAGCUCUUUUAUCCGGGACGAUAAUGACGGUACCGGAGGUAUAAGCCCCGGCUAACUUCGUG
rnacentral:rRNA from 1 species